UCGGAAUUAUAUAAUGGCAUAAUUAUCAUUGAUUUUUGUGUUUAUUAUAUGCACUUGUAUGAUUAACAAUGCGAAAGAUUCAGGAUACCUUCGGGACCCGUCUUGAAACACGGACCAAGGAGUCUAACAUAUGUGCAAGUUAUUGGGAUAUAAACCUAAUAGCGUAAUUAACUUGACUAAUAAUGGGAUUAGUUUUUUAGCUAUUUAUAGCUAAUUAACACAAUCCCGGGGCGUUCUAUAUAGUUAUGUAUAAUGUAUAUUUAUAUUAUUUAUGCCUCUAACUGGAACGUACCUUGAGCAUAUAUGCUGUGACCCGAAAGAUGGUGAACUAUACUUGAUCAGGUUGAAGUCAGGGGAAACCCUGAUGGAAGACCGAAACAGUUCUGACGUGCAAAUCGAUUGUCAGAAUUGAGUAUAGGGGCGAAAGACCAAUCGAACCAUCUAGUAGCUGGUUCCUUCCGAAGUUUCCCUCAGGAUAGCUGGUGCAUUUUAAUAUUAUAUAAAAUAAUCUUAUCUGGUAAAGCGAAUGAUUAGAGGCCUUAGGGUCGAAACGAUCUUAACCUAUUCUCAAACUUUAAAUGGGUAAGAACCUUAACUUUCUUGAUAUGAAGUUCAAGGUUAUGAUAUAAUGUGCCCAGUGGGCCACUUUUGGUAAGCAGAACUGGCGCUGUGGGAUGAACCAAACGUAAUGUUACGGUGCCCAAAUUAACAACUCAUGCAGAUACCAUGAAAGGCGUUGGUUGCUUAAAACAGCAGGACGGUGAUCAUGGAAGUCGAAAUCCGCUAAGGAGUGUGUAACAACUCACCUGCCGAAGCAACUAGCCCUUAAAAUGGAUGGCGCUUAAGUUGUAUACCUAUACAUUACCGCUAAAGUAGAUGAUUUAUAUUACUUGUGAUAUAAAUUUUGAAACUUUAGUGAGUAGGAAGGUACAAUGGUAUGCGUAGAAGUGUUUGGCGUAAGCCUGCAUGGAGCUGCCAUUGGUACAGAUCUUGGUGGUAGUAGCAAAUAAUCGAAUGAGACCUUGGAGGACUGAAGUGGAGAAGGGUUUCGUGUGAACAGUGGUUGAUCACGAGUUAGUCGGUCCUAAGUUCAAGGCGAAAGCCGAAAAUUUUCAAGUAAAACAAAAAUGCCUAACUAUAUAAACAAAGCGAAUUAUAAUACACUUGAAUAAUUUUGAACGAAAGGGAAUACGGUUCCAAUUCCGUAACCUGUUGAGUAUCCGUUUGUUAUUAAAUAUGGGCCUCGUGCUCAUCCUGGCAACAGGAACGACCAUAAAGAAGCCGUCGAGAGAUAUCGGAAGAGUUUUCUUUUCUGUUUUAUAGCCGUACUACCAUGGAAGUCUUUCGCAGAGAGAUAUGGUAGAUGGGCUAGAAGAGCAUGACAUAUACUGUUGUGUCGAUAUUUUCUCCUCGGACCUUGAAAAUUUAUGGUGGGGACACGCAAACUUCUCAACAGGCCGUACCAAUAUCCGCAGCUGGUCUCCAAGGUGAAGAGUCUCUAGUCGAUAGAAUAAUGUAGGUAAGGGAAGUCGGCAA
rnacentral:rRNA from 1 species